GACAAGCAGAGAAUGAGCUGAGAACCCAGGACUUUUUGCAUAUUGGAGGCACUGAAAAAGAGAAUGCAGUUUUCUUAAGCAUGCAGAGGAUUGCCAAAGUUAAGAGACUCGAUUUCAGUCUCCCUUGCAUUUCGCUGUGGCCACAAAACGGAAUUCUAGUCCACGGAAUGAGAUGUUACCUGCAUCACUUUCAAGCCCGGCCCAUAACAGCCUCCCACACAGCAGCUCCUUGGCUCAUCCAGCCGGCUGAGAUUGAGAGGAACUCAAGUGUUGAAGACGACAGAGCCUCCGUCAGUCUGGACCCCUGAGUGACGACUGCACAGAAGAAGCCCGCCCUGUGAACUGUGCCCCAAUCUGAUGCUAUUAUGAGAACAUGAAAUAAAUUUAAGUUACGGUGAGUCAUUA